CCUACGCGAGGCAGCAGUGGGGUAUAUUGCGCAAUGGGCGAAAGCCUGACGCAGCGACGCCGCGUGAGGGAUGAAGGUCUUCGGAUCGUAAACCUCUGUCAGCAGGGAAGAACGGUCACUGUGCUAAUCAGCAGUGUAUUGACGGUGCCUGCACAGGAAGCACCGGCUAACUCCGUGCCAGCAGCCGCGGUAAUACGGAGGGUGCGAGCGUUAAUCGGAAUUACUGGGCGUAAAGCGCUCGUAGGCGGUAUGUCAAGUCAAGGGUGAAAUCCCCGCGCUCAACGUGGGAACUGGCUUUGAAACUGGCAAACGGGAGUGUGUGAGAGGAUAGUGGAAUUCCAGGUGUAGGAGGGAAA
rnacentral:rRNA from 1 species